rnacentral:rRNA from 1 species
GCAAGGUGCUGACGAGUGGCGAACGGGUGAGUAAUGCAUCGGAACGUGCCCAGUCGUGGGGGAUAACUGCUCGAAAGAGCAGCUAAUACCGCAUACGACCUGAGGGUGAAAGCGGGGGACCGAAAGGCCUCGCGCGAUUGGAGCGGCCGAUGUCAGAUUAGCUAGUUGGUGGGGUAAAGGCCUACCAAGGCGACGAUCUGUAGUUGGUCUGAGAGGACGACCAGCCACACUGGGACUGAGACACGGCCCAGACUCCUACGGGAGGCAGCAGUGGGGAAUUUUGGACAAUGGGGGCAACCCUGAUCCAGCAAUGCCGCGUGCAGGAAGAAGGCCUUCGGGUUGUAAA